ACAAGGAGCUUGCUCCUUUGACGUUAGCGGCGGACGGGUGAGUAACACGUGGGUAACCUACCUAUAAGACUGGGAUAACUUCGGGAAACCGGAGCUAAUACCGGAUAAUAUUUCGAACCGCAUGGUUCGAUAGUGAAAGAUGGUUUUGCUAUCACUUAUAGAUGGACCCGCGCCGUAUUAGCUAGUUGGUAAGGUAACGGCUUACCAAGGCGACGAUACGUAGCCGACCUGAGAGGGUGAUCGGCCACACUGGAACUGAGACACGGUCCAGACUCCUACGGGAGGCAGCAGUAGGGAAUCUUCCGCAAUGGGCGAAAGCCUGACGGAGCAACGCCGCGUGAGUGAUGAAGGUCUUCGGAUCGUAAAACUCUGUUAUUAGGGAAGAACAUACGUGUAAGUAACUGUGCACGUCUUGACGGUACCUAAUCAGAAAGCCACGGCUAAMUACGUGCCAGCAGCCGCGGUAAUACGUAGGUGGCAAGCGUUAUCCGGAAUUAUUGGGCGUAAAGCGCGCGUAGGCGGUUUUUUAAGUCUGAUGUGAAAGCCCACGGCUCAACCGUGGAGGGUCAUUGGAAACUGGAAAACUUGAGUGCAGAAGAGGAAAG
rnacentral:rRNA from 1 species